UGCGGUCACAAAAAGCACUGUUUUUUUGCACGUUGGCUUUGCCAACGGCCCCGACAGGGGUGAAUAAUUUUAAACGCUUUUUUGAUUUG
rnacentral:ncRNA from 1 species